GAAGGGCUGAAGGCAAACACCGAGUUCCCCCAGAGCCGCCCGGGAGCAGGGAGGGCUCCGCCACCCCGGGGGGCCCUCCCCGCGGGGCAGAUGAGUUCAGAAUCCAGGCUCUCUGAGCUGUAUUUUGGGGUCCCCCAAGCAUUCCAUCUUCUUGACUCUCCAUAAACUUUCGGAUUCAUAACCCACUCCAUACUUGAGAAAAUGGGAAUUGGAAUAAGGACUUCCCAGAGUUUUGGGAUACUUGGCCAAGCCGUGCAGAGGUUCUGAUUGGAAGUUGCUGACGCUUUUGCACUUUGUCCCUCUCGUCAAAUGCUUCUCAGGACGAAGUCUGGCAAGUAAUCCACUUGAAGCCAUCUGCAAUGUCUAAUCCAAAC